UGAAAUCUAAUGAUUGGAAGAGUAAACAUGCCUUAGUUUUAAGCGAACUAGAGAAUGGUGUGAGUCUAGUAACGGGUUAUGUUGAAAAGAGUCCAUGAAGAUAUACUUUGAAAAUAUUUAUCAUUAUAUGCAUAAAUAUUAGUAUAGGUAUACAGUGACAACUGUUAAAAUGCUAGAGAGAGAAUGAAUAAAUAUACACUAUAAUCAUAAUAUUCAUUCUAAUAAGAGUGGUAACGCGAAACAAACCUUUCGUCUCUUAA
rnacentral:ncRNA from 1 species